rnacentral:lncRNA from 1 species
GGGAUUCAGUCUGAAGGGAAAGGGAGGGAAAAGAAAUAGGAAGAAAGCGGAUAGUGUGUAUAUUGAAUACUGUAUCUUGUAACGAGUAUGUAACUGCAGACAGUUGACUAUUUGUACAAUUUUGUUUUGUGAAUGCCUUCCUGGUUGCUUUUCUCUCAAGCAUUUUUUGUUUCUGAGCCUCGAAUAUGAGCAACUAAGCAAACCACAUCAAGCUGAGGGGUUUUGGCCACUCACACUCUUCACCUUGUCCAAGCCAAACGACGCACCAGAAUGAUGGCAGACCAUCAACGCCGCUAGUUCAAUGCCUCUCGCGCGCAUGGUCCGUAUUUCCGCCAUGCCAGCGGCAAGCAUGGAUCUCUCUCUCUACACCACAACAGCUUCUUCAAGCAGCUCGUUUGUACAAAACCUUAUUCAGUUGUAUGCCCGUACCCGUAGCGGAGGCCAUAUAUUAUACCAUAUUUCUAUUUUUUACAGAACAUACAAGUAACGGUAGCAUUUCCCAAUUCUACCUUCAUAUUUCGGUAAUCGUUUUAGUCCCAGCCAUGUUUUUAACUCAUAUUUGAGUAAUUGUUGAAGUCCCAGCUAUGUUUUUAAUCUUCAUCUGAAUUGUAAGGGGCACCCAAAGAUGUGCGCCCCUCCAAAAAUAGGGGUAUGCCACUUAGAACGACGAGCACACGGUAUUCUUUAGUAAAAGGCGAAAGAAUAGUUCGCUUUGUGCUCAACGCAUGGCUCCGUGAUUUUUAAGUUCUGCACGCCGCUUUAUUUUAUAUUGCCUAUUCCAGCUCCUUCUUCACGCUAUCGUCGAUGUGGGACUUACCAACCGCUUAGGUAAUUGCAGUUCAACAAAAACUGUCUGCAAAAGAAAACUUGGCUCAACAAAAAGUUUAGCUCCAAUUCUUUUUGUCGUCUGCCUGGUUACAUUUUUCCUUCACAAAUUAUUUCCCCUUGAUUUGAUAAACUAACUGAAGCUCCAUGAUUAAAUUAAACUUCCAAGUCCCAAACCAAGUUUCAUGAAGAACCAGUUUCUAGCAAACUCUCAUUUUGUUUUACUUCUGUUGGAGAUAAUUAUAUGAAUGAUAAGCAGCAGCCGAUUGCGAAACGCGACCUCGGGUGGUUAAGAUGGGAACACUAUCGGUGUUGGACCAGUUAGCCAGCCGGCAUGCGUCGCCUGUUGGAAAUUUCAAAACUCAUUCUGUUAUUAGUUUUUUUUUUUUUUCUUGGGUUUGGUUUUGCAUCGCUAUCGUGUUCAAUGAAAACGUUGAAAAGUCUGUUUAUAUAUGCUGUCUAUGAUCGUGUAGAGAUUUCACAUAAAAAAAACAUGGUUACAAAACGUGUCUGUCUGGUCAACUGUAAUAUGUAAACUUGGUAAUCUUUGUUCUUGUUACUUGUUUCUCCUCCGCCUUGUGGUUGCAGGACGACCUCUCUGCAGUUCCCUUUACUCGGUCCCUUGACUCCCUCCUCGAUCAUCGACCGUGAGCUUUCAUUACAUUCAUUGGCCUUUUAAUUCAUUUUUACUUUUAUAUGCAUCAUCAUGUAAAUUUAUAUGAUCGUUUUAAUUUUACAACUGCUCAUCUUCGAUUUAAAUAACCCUAGUUGAUUAACAAGGAUAAGGUUGUGUAGGAUAGACGCUCCUCCCCGUUGUUGGCUUGGGGUUGCUCUUUUUUAGUUGAUAAACAAAUUUGAAUUAGAUGAAAAGGCUGCCAUAUCAUCUGAGCUUGGAAUACAGAACACGUUUUGUGGAGUGCGGCGGUACUCAAAUCAAUUGAUUACAUAUUUACUUAUGAAGUUCUGAAAAUUUUAUGGUCUGUUUGAUAACCAUUUUAUUUUUUUCGUUUUUAGUUUUCAUUUUUGUGUUGGAGAGAUGAGGAAAGUGAGGGAAAAGAAAUAGGAAGAAAGCGGAUAGUGUGUAUAUUGAAUACUGUAUCUUGUAACGAGUAUGUAACUGCAGACAGUUGACUAUUUGUACAAUUUUGUUUUGUGAAUGCCUUCCUGGUUACUUUUCUCUCAAGCAUUUUUUGUUUCUGAGCCUCGAAUAUGAGCAACUAAGCAAACCACAUCAAGCUGAGGGGUUUUGGCCACUCACACUCUUCACCUUGUCCAAG